rnacentral:rRNA from 1 species
GACGAACGCUGGCGGCGUGCUUAACACAUGCAAGUCGAACGGAAAGGCCCUGCUUUUGUGGGGUGCUCGAGUGGCGAACGGGUGAGUAACACGUGAGUAACCUGCCCUUGACUUUGGGAUAACUUCAGGAAACUGGGGCUAAUACCGGAUAGGAGCUCCUGCUGCAUGGUGGGGGUUGGAAAGUUUCGGCGGUUGGGGAUGGACUCGCGGCUUAUCAGCUUGUUGGUGGGGUAGUGGCUUACCAAGGCUUUGACGGGUAGCCGGCCUGAGAGGGUGACCGGCCAAAUGGGGACGGAGAAACGCCCCAGACUCCUAGGGGGGGAAGGGGGGGGAAAUAUUGCAAAAGGGGGGGAAGCCUGAGGCAGAACCGCCGGGGGGGGGAUGACGGCCUUGGGUUUGAAAACCGUUUUCGCCUGUGACGAAGGGUGGGUGACGGUAAGGGGAAAAGAAGCCCCGGCAACCUACG